GCCUCCUGAAUCUUCCACCCUGAACGCACCCCAUCUCCGCUGACCUGGCAGCUCAGCAGGGUUGGGCCUGGUUAGGGCUGGGAUGGGAGCCGGCCGGGGAGUACCGGGUGCCGUAGGCU
ensembl:rRNA 5S_rRNA 5S ribosomal RNA